rnacentral:lncRNA from 1 species
GUUUUAGUGCUGUGGAACCACAGAUGACCAUGAAUACUUGAUUACUUGACAGACUACUAAUAAAGUUAAUUGAAGUUUAAUAAGCAUUGUCAAGAUUUUCUUUUGAAAUGAUGGACUCUUCAGUAAGGUGUUGGCAUUUUAUAAAGCAAUUAACAAAGCUGUAUUGAACCUAAAAAUCGGUCACCAAUUCAGUACAUCCUAUGUGUAGUUGCCUUCCUUGGGCAGCCAUUGGCAUAUUAAAAU